UACGUAGGGGGCAAGCGUUGUCCGGAAUCAUUGGGCGUAAAGAGCGUGUAGGCGGUUCGGUAAGUCCGCUGUAAAAGUCCAGGGCUCAACCCCGGAAAGCCGGUGGAAACUGUCGAACUAGAGUCCGGAAGAGGCGAGUGGAAUUCCUGGUGUAGCGGUGAAAUGCGCAGAUAUCAGGAGGAACACCAAUGGCGAAGGCAGCUCGCUGGGACGGUACUGACGCUGAGACGCGAAAGCGUGGGGAGCAAACAGG
rnacentral:rRNA from 1 species